GUACUCACUUCAGCAGCAUAUACACUAAAAUUGCAAUGAUACAGAGAAAAUUAGCAUGGCCCUUGUACAAGGAUAACACACAAAUUUGUGAAGUGUUCCAUAUUUUU